rnacentral:rRNA from 1 species
GUUGCCAUCAUUGAUUGGGCACUCUAAAGAGACUGCCGGUGUCAAACCGGAGGAAGGUGGGGAUGACGUCAAGUCCUCAUGGCCUUUAUGACCAGGGCUACACACGUACUACAAUGGCCGGUACAAAGGGCAGCGACACAGCGAUGUGAAGCGAAUCCCGAAAAGCCGGUCUCAGUCCGGAUUGGAGUCUGCAACUCGACUCCAUGAAGUUGGAAUCGCUAGUAAUCGCGGAUCAGCACGCCGCGGUGAAUACGUUCCCGGGCCUU